GUGGGGAAUAUUGCACAAGUGGGGAAACCCUGAUGCAGCGACGCCGCGUGAAGGAAGAAGUAUCUCGGUAUGUAAACUUCUAUCAGCAGGGAAGAUAGUGACGGUACCUGACUAAGAAGCCCCGGCUAACUACGUGCC
rnacentral:rRNA from 1 species